UUGUUGUAUCCACAGCUCCCAAGGAAGGCAGUGAAGAUCAUAGGAACCGUCCCACGUCCUGCCCCGGCCGUGGCCAACAGCAGAUGCCCGAGAGAACAGUACCAAAACCAGCACGUGGUCCAUCGGGGGUCUGGCAUCUGGCGUGACUCAUGCGUCACGCUGGGGACAGCGCAUUGAGGUUUGGCAGAGGGUGAUAGUGCAGCUGUGAUGCUGAGGCUGAGCGUGCCCCAAGAACAGGUCCAGGUGGCUUCUGACUGCCCCCACCCGCGGCUCACCAGAGGUCCCUCCAGCACUGCCCACGGGCCACUCCGGCAGGCAGCCUCCAUCAAAGCUUGAGGAGAUCCAGCACUGCGACAAGGGGCGAAAGGGGAUUGCGUGCAGCCAGAGAAUUUCACAUUUCCAAGUGCCAGGGCCAGUCCAGCAACUCUCUGCGGGACGAGACUGCAGCGAACAUGGGAGGAAGCCCUAAGAAGAUCCUCCAGAUUUCAGGCUCUUUUUCAUCAGGCUGCGAUGAGAUAGU